rnacentral:rRNA from 1 species
UACGAGGGGUGCAAGCGUUACUCGGAAUCACUGGGCGUAAAGCGUGCGUAGGCGGUUGGUUAAGUCUGCUGUGAAAGCCCUGGGCUCAACCUGGGAACUGCAGUGGAUACUGGCUAGCUAGAGUGUGAUAGAGGAUGGUGGAAUUCCCGGUGUAGCGGUGAAAUGCGUAGAGAUCGGGAGGAACACCAGUGGCGAAGGCGGCCAUCUGGAUCAACACUGACGCUGAGGCACGAAAGCGUGGGGAGCAAACAGG